rnacentral:rRNA from 1 species
UACGUAGGCAGCAAGCGUUGUUCGGAGUUACUGGGCGUAAAGGGUGCGUAGGCGGUCCUAUAAGUAUGGUGUGAAAUCUCCCGGCUUAACUGGGAGGGUGCGCUAUAGACUGUGGGACUAGAGUGUGGGAGAGGAAAGUGGAAUUCCUGGUGUAGCGGUGAAAUGCGUAGAUAUCAGGAGGAACACCGGUGGUGUAAACGGCUUUCUGGACCAUAACUGACGCUGGAGGCACGAAAGCGUGGGUAGCAAACAGGAU